rnacentral:rRNA from 1 species
CAGUCGCCGCGGUAAUACGGAGGGAGCUAGCGUUGUUCGGAAUUACUGGGCGUAAAGCGCACGUAGGCGGUUAUUCAAGUCAGAGGUGAAAGCCCGGGGCUCAACCCCGGAAUAGCCUUUGAAACUAGAUAACUUGAAUCCAGGAGAGGUGAGUGGAAUUCCGAGUGUAGAGGUGAAAUUCGUAGAUAUUCGGAAGAACACCAGUGGCGAAGGCGGCUCACUGGACUGGUAUUGACGCUGAGGUGCGAAAGCGUGGGGAGCAAACAGGAUUAGAUACCCCAGUAGUCCCUGUCUCUUAUAC